GACGAACGCUGGCGGCGUGCUUAACACAUGCAAGUCGAACGGAAAGGCCCUGCUUUUGUGGUGUGCUCGAGUGGCGAACGGGGGAGUAACACGUGAGUAACCUGCCCUUUACUUUGCGAUAACUUCAGGAAACUGGGGCUAAUACCGGUUAGUAGCUCCUGCUGCAUGGUGGGGGUUGGAAAGUUUCGGCGGUUGGGGAUGGACUCGCGGCUUAUCAGCUUGUUGGUGGGGUAGUGGCUUACCAAGGCGUUGACGGGUAGCCGGCCUGAGAGGGUGACCGGCCACAUUGGGACUGAGAUACGGCCCAGACUCCUACGGGAGGCAGCAGUGGGGAAUAUUGCACAAUGGGCGGAAGCCUGAUGCAGCAACGCCGCGUGCGGGAUGACGGCCUUCGGGUUGUAAACCGCUUUCGCCUGUGACGAAGCGUGAGUGACGGUAAUGGGUAAAGAAGCACCGGCUAACUACGUG
rnacentral:rRNA from 1 species